CAGUCGCCGCGGGAAUACGUAGGGUGCGAGCGUUAAUCGGAAUUACUGGGCGUAAAGCGGGCGCAGACGGUUACUUAAGCAGGAUGUGAAAUCCCCGGGCUCAACCUGGGAACUGCGUUCUGAACUGGGUGACUAGAGUGUGUCAGAGGGAGGUAGAGUUCCACGUGUAGCAGUGAAAUGCGUAGAGAUGUGGAGGAAUACCGAUGGCGAAGGCAGCCUCCUGGGAUAACACUGACGUUCAUGCCCGAAAGCGUGGGUAGCAAACAGGGUUAGAGACCCCUGUAGUCCCUGUCUCUUAUAC
rnacentral:rRNA from 1 species